rnacentral:lncRNA from 1 species
AAAAAAAUUAAAUUCAUUGAACCGGCUGGUUCCCUCGGAACCGGCCGGUUCGUCCGGUUCACCGGUUGGACCGCCGGUUCAGGCGGUCCAAUCCCGGUUUGGUCUUCUUCCGGUCUAGUGACUGGACCGAACCGGAACCGUGACCGGUCGGCGGUCCAACCGGUCGGACCGGCCGGUCCGGUCCGGUUUUUAAAACCAUG